CUUUGUGAUUCAUGACUGGGGUGAAGUCGUAACAAGGUAACCGUAGGGGAACCUGCGGUUGGAUCACCUCCUUACCAAAAAGAUGUGUGUUGAGUGAAGUGCUCACACAGAUUGUCUGAUGAA
rnacentral:rRNA from 1 species